UGUAUACCACCCUUAAAACGAUAACUGCAAAUGCAGAAUCAGAUGAUAUUGAUAUUGUAUCUAUUAUGAAUAGAGAUAAUGCCCUUUUGUGAAUUGUAAAUAAAUAAUGCUGUGAGCAAAGGCUCAGGGGAUUACUGCGCUAACAGCUGAACAGCAACAACAUAUUGACUUUUUACUCUUUCAAGAAAACAUAGUUUAAAUAUCUAAAAAUUGUUAGAAUAUUAUUACGCUGAUAUAAAAGUGGCGACGAGGUGAAAAUUCAGUGUACCAAAGUUAAUAAGAUAAAGUGCGGGAGGCAACCUAAUAGUUGAUUUCAGUGAAUCCGCAUCAAAGAAGUGUAGUCCAUGUUGGAAAUAAGGUGAUGCGAAGUGCAUGAACAAGGCAGCUAUCUGGCUUAUUACGAUCAACAGUGUAUAACAAUAGUAGCUACACGGUAGUCGGCGCCGAAUGGUGGCAUUUCGUCGGUGGUGCUAUUAGCCAGUGUAUGCUGAUUGCAUCGAUUAGGCAUUUUUUAAGUGAUCGAGGUGGAAAUCCAUCAACCCAAACUGUGCGCGGUAGAUGUUCAACGGGGAUAAACCUGAUUGCACGUGUAUGUCAAUAAAAAUUGGAUUGACAUAGCCAAGCUGAGUGAAAAAAAUUGUUUACCGAGAUUGUUAUCAUCAUCAUCGUCUAACAAAAGAGUCAACGAUACGACGAUACUGCCAAAGUGCCAAAGAUAUAAAAAGAGGAACAUUAACCAAAGGCGCGAAAUUGCACCAUCCCAGGUGACGAAAUUGUCCGAUUUGUACUUGGUAUAUUUACGGGCUAUUCGGCAGCGGUGCUGAGGCAUACAAAGGGCCGCGAUUGCAUGAUUUGCGCGACACUCAUCGAACAAACACAAUGGAAAGAUGCGAAUGUGAAGCUCGGAUACUGGCAGUAAAAGCAAUUAGCGAAUUUGCGACUGUCAACAGCAGCGACUUGGCGAUAAAAAUGUCGGUUCUGAAUCACAAUUGGAAAAGACAACUGUCAGAAGAAGAUGAAUUAAUUUUGAAGAAUAGUGAGCUUGUUUUAGAAAUUAAUUGCAAUUCAAGCAAAUCGGAAAAUUGUAGAAUUUAAUGUGUGAUAUCGAAAUUACAUUUUGUGAUAUUUAGUUUAUUAAUUCUAUGCAAUUCAGUAUAAGAAAUUAAUUCACGUACGAGUGUUGAUCAUUAUAAUUUAAAACUUUACGAAUAAGAGUUCCUAAAGGGGGAAGAACUGUGGUGUAUACCACCCUUAAAACGAUAACUGCAAAUGCAGAAUCAGAUGAUAUUGAUAUUGUAUCUAUUAUGAAUAGAGAUAAUGCCCUUUUGUGAAUUGUAAAUAAAUAAUGCUGUGAGCAAAGGCUCAGGGGAUUACUGCGCUAACAGCUGAACAGCAACAACAUA